AUGAAUGCCUUUAUUUCGCUUGGUCUAGCCAACAAAAAGGCAAUGACCAUAAAACAGGUAUGUCUUCAAAAACCAGGAGAAUAACAUACAACAAAUUACGCAGGAGAAAACCAACUUCACCACUGACAGUAGGAAUAAGCACACAAGCAGGCGGGCACUGGAAGUUUAAAUAGACUAUAAAUUAACCAAAAUAAGCAACAGGUGAAACCAAUCAAGACAAAACCAACAGAAAAAGAAAAAGGGAUCGGUGGCAGCUAGUAGGCCGGUGACGAUGACCUCCGAGCGCCGCCUGAACAGGGAGAAGGAGCCACCUUCGGUGGAAGUCGUGACCGGGACAUACAUACACCUCCCCCUUAACUUUUCCUGAAGCUGCCGUUCGGUUUUGAUGAUGUAUAGAAAAACAGUUACAUGUACAUAUACUAUAUAUACAGUAUUAUCCAUGUCCUUGUUCAGCCACGACUCUGAGAAACACAGGAUAUUACAGUUUGUCAGUUCCUGUUGAUAUUACAUCUGACUGGAAAAUACAUGUAAAUAUCCUGAGUGCAUUGAGUUAUACAGUACCACUUGGCAGUUUUACCAGCCAUUGUUAUUCAUUGAUUUACCCUCACACAUGCAUUAAUCAACCAUUAUUUACAUGACAUCUUUACAAUGCUUACAUUGGCUCUUCUGUACUCUCGAUCUGUUUCUCUGUAGCAGUGUUUUAUACACGUGGGAUGUAUUUUACAGUAAUCACCACCAUCAAUUCCCAUUGGCUCAACUUAUUCACUACUCUCUCUCAUACUCUUCAAGAUGUAUGAUAUCAAUUUCUACGGCCUGGAGACGUUGGAGACGUUUAUAAUGAACAUCUAACCUGCUGUGCCCCCCUGAAAGACUUGACUCAUUGUGGAAUGCACUCUUUCCAGGAAAUCAGAACAUGCAUGUCUGUGACUCAUAGGUGGCCUACGUAAUGUACACUGAGUAUAACAAAACAUUAGGAACACCUUCCUAAUAUUGAUUUGCAACCCCUCUUUUCUCUUUUGCCCUUGGAACAGCCUCAAUUCGUCAAGGCAGGGACUCUACAAGAUGUCGAAAGCGUUCAACAAGGAUGCCGGCCCAUGUUGACUCCAAUACUUCCCACAGUUGUGUCAGGUUGGCAGGAUGUCCCAUGGGUGGUGACCCAUGUUGACUCCAAUACUUCCCACAGUUGUGUCAGGUAGGCAGGAUGUCCCGUGGGUGGUGGCCCAUGUUGACUCCAAUACUUCCCACAGUUGUGUCAGGUUGGCAGGAUGUCCCGUGGGUGGUGGCCCAUGUUGACUCCAAUACUUCCCACAGUUGUGUCAGGUUGGCAGGAUGUCCCGUGGGUGGUGGCCCAUGUUGACUCCAAUACUUCCCACAGUUGUGUCAGGUUGGCAGGAUGUCCCGUGGGUGGUGGCCCAUGUUGACUCCAAUACUUCCCACAGUUGUGUCAGGUUGGCAGGAUGUCCCGUGGGUGGUGGCCCAUGUUGACUCCAAUACUUCCCACAGUUGUGUCAGGUUGGCAGGAUGUCCCAUGGGUGGUGGCCCAUGUUGACUCCAAUACUUCCCACAGUUGUGUCAGGUUGGCAGGAUGUCCCGUGGGUGGUGGCCCAUGUUGACUCCAAUACUUCCCACAGUUGUGUCAGGUUGGCAGGAUGUCCCAUGGGUGGUGGCCCAUGUUGACUCCAAUACUUCCCACAGUUGUGUCAGGUUGGCAGGAUGUCCCAUGGGUGGUGGCCCAUGUUGACUCCAAUACUUCCCACAGUUGUGUCAGGUUGGCAGGAUGUCCCAUGGGUGGUGGCCCAUGUUGACUCCAAUACUUCCCACAGUUGUGUCAGGUUGGCAGGAUGUCCCAUGGGUGGUGGCCCAUGUUGACUCCAAUACUUCCCACAGUUGUGUCAGGUUGGCAGGAUGUCCCAUGGGUGGUGGCCCAUGUUGACUCCAAUACUUCCCACAGUUGUGUCAGGUUGGCAGGAUGUCCCAUGGGUGGUGGCCCAUGUUGACUCCAAUACUUCCCACAGUUGUGUCAGGUUGGCAGGAUGUCCCAUGGGUGGUGGCCCAUGUUGACUCCAAUACUUCCCACAGUUGUGUCAGGUUGGCAGGAUGUCCCAUGGGUGGUGGCCCAUGUUGACUCCAAUACUUCCCACAGUUGUGUCAGGUUGGCAGGAUGUCCCAUGGGUGGUGGCCCAUGUUGACUCCAAUACUUCCCACAGUUGUGUCAGGUUGGCAGGAUGUCCCGUGGGUGGUGGCCCAUGUUGACUCCAAUACUUCCCACAGUUGUGUCAGGUUGGCAGGAUGUCCCGUGGGUGGUGGCCCAUGUUGACUCCAAUACUUCCCACAGUUGUGUCAGGUUGGCAGGAUGUCCCGUGGGUGGUGGCCCAUGUUGACUCCAAUACUUCCCACAGUUGUGUCAGGUUGGCAGGAUGUCCCGUGGGUGGUGGCCCAUGUUGACUCCAAUACUUCCCACAGUUGUGUCAGGUUGGCAGGAUGUCCCGUGGGUGGUGGCCCAUGUUGACUCCAAUACUUCCCACAGUUGUGUCAGGUUGGCAGGAUGUCCCGUGGGUGGUGGCCCAUGUUGACUCCAAUACUUCCCACAGUUGUGUCAGGUUGGCAGGAUGUCCCGUGGGUGGUGGCCCAUGUUGACUCCAAUACUUCCCACAGUUGUGUCAGGUUGGCAGGAUGUCCCGUGGGUGGUGGCCCAUGUUGACUCCAAUACUUCCCACAGUUGUGUCAGGUUGGCAGGAUGUCCCGUGGGUGGUGGCCCAUGUUGACUCCAAUACUUCCCACAGUUGUGUCAGGUUGGCAGGAUGUCCCGUGGGUGGUGGACCGUUCCUGAUACA